rnacentral:rRNA from 1 species
GAAGGCCAAUCCGCCGGGGGUUAGUCGGUCCCUAAGAUGAGGCUGAAUAGCGUAGUCGAUGGGAAGCAGGUUCAUAUUCCUGCACCAACUGUUUUGUGCGAUGGGGUGACGCAGAAGGAUAAUAAGAGCGGGCUUUUGGAUAUGUCCGUUCCUCACGCGAGGUUAUGAGAGAGGUAGGAAAAUCCGCCUUUUGA